CCGUAAUUCAAGCUCCAAUAGCGUAUAUUAAAAUUGUUGCAGUUAAAAAGCUCGUAGUUGAAUUUCUGCUAAAAAUAACCGGUCUGCUUUUAAUAAAGGUGGUAUCUUGGUGUGUUUUUAGCAAUAAUGUCCUUUGAAAUGUUUUUUACUUCAUUGUAAGAAAUUAUAUUCAGGAUUUUUACUUUGAGAAAAUUAGAGUGUUUCUAGCAGGCUAACGCUUUGAAUACUGCAGCAUGGAAUAAUAAAAUAGGAUUUUGGUUCUACAUUAUUGGUUUUAAGAGCUAAAUUAAUGAUUGAUAGGGACAGUUGGGGGCAUUUGUAUUUAACUGUCAGAGGUGAAAUUCUUA
rnacentral:rRNA from 1 species